GUAUACUACUACUACUCAGGUCUGCUGCUUCUUCUACUACUACUACUUCUUCUACUUCUCAGGUCUUGAACUUCAUGGAGUUUUGGAGUGGAGAACACAGGACAGGUUGUGGUGUGGAAAGUAGUUGAUGAGAUAGGGUGAAUUAGGGUGAAUUAAGGUGCUCAGAGUCUAUGGUGAUAGUGGUGCGGUCCUCUUGGGGUGAUAGGGAGGAGGAUGCCACAGUGAAGGUGGGAGGAACUGCUGAAGUUUUGUUUGGGAUUUACCUCAGGCUCAAAGGAUAGGGGUCAGAUUGGCAUCGGCCAAUCAGAUCAGCCUGUGAAAGCCUGGAAGUCUGAGUCUGAAACAGGAAGCAGGAAGAGUGACAUAGGAAGUAAAAAGAUUGACACAGAUACAAGAGACCAGAACAAAAGAUACAUAAAUAAAAACGAUUUAUUCAAUUUAUUUCAGAGCUCGGAAGUUUGGAAAUUUAAAUGUAAUUUCCAAUUGAGCCAUAUGCCGCUUUUACUCUGAACGCAGUCUCCACAAAAGCGGAAAUAAUUCCCUUGAAAUCUAAAUUGCGCUUUAGCUCAGAUUUUCCGAGCUCCUUUUUGAAUCUAGGUCUUAAUCAGGACCUGUAUUCACAAAGUGUGAAGCGUUUCAGAGAAGGUGGCUGCUCAGAAGAAGCUGAAAAUAAUAAUAAUAAUCCCUUGCUGAGAAGAUGGCUGAAAAAUAAACUCCAGCAAACACACUGGUACAGUGGGCUGUGACUUGAUACAGCAUCCAUAGACACCAUAACAUGAAUAUGGUGGGUGCCAUAUGGUUGAUGCUAGGUGGGAUCGGGCCUGUGAAUGGAGAAAACUGUAUAGCGUAGCCAGUCAAAGGGUGCACAUAGAGAUAGAAAUAGUUUCUACGGGGUGAGCAGAUAGAAUGACAGAGACGUGAGGUUGUGUUUGAUAAGCUUUAGAAAAAACAAGAUGCAAUGUACCAUCUAAUGUUAGCAAGAGACUUCCUUUUCUUUUACUGUGUACUCAAACACUGACCAUCAAAUGAAGCCAGAGAAAGUUGUCUACCAUAGCAUUUCUAUGAAACACAGUAUUUCUGCCACAAAUUGAUUUGUUUUCUCAAAAAAUAGAUAAAUAUCCAGGUUAUUCUUUUUGGGUGACUAUUUAUUUUGUUUCCUGCAGCAUUACCCCAAAAAUGGAGGAGGCAGGUGGCAGCAGGAGGAGGUAGGGAACUGGUCUGUCUGCCCAAUAUAAAGGAUCACAACUGUCAGAGGAAUAAACAUAGCAUAAAUAGGAAAGUAUACCAGUUUCAUUUGAGGACCAGGAUGUUGACAACUGUGCCAUACAGAUUGCAAAAUAGUUGGGAAGACAUUUUUGAUGUACCAAUUCCAGGGUACGGGGUGUAUGAGUUGAUAUAUAAAACAAGGCAAGAUUCAAGACUUUGUGCUUUUCAGCUAAAAUUAUUAUACAGAAUUCUUGCCACCAACAAAAUGUUGAAUAUUUUGGAAAUAAAAUCAUCGAAGCAGAUUUUGUUGUGAGGAUACAGAAUCAAUAGACCAUUUAUUUUGGUAUUGCCCUCAGGUAGCCUGUUUCUGGUCUCAGGUUCAGGAAUGGCUGAAAAUGCACAGCAUUGAUCUAAAAUUGACCCUAGAAAUAGUACUGUUAGGAGAUCUGGAGAGACCGGGUCAGUCAUUUACUAAUAUACUAAUACUCUUAGUAAAAGUAUUUAUCUUCAACUCGCAAGCUGUGGAUUCUAUUCGAUAAGAUAUAUUGAAAUUGUACGUUAAACAUCACAGCACAGUUGAAAGAUAUGUGUUGCGUAGAAACACGAAGUGGGUGGCCAGCAGAGAUAGAUGGGAUGGGCUGAGGGAAGCUGAGGGUUGGGAUGGGCUGAGGGAAGCUGAGGGUUAGGAUGGGAUGGGCUGAGGGAAGCUGAGGGUUGGGAUGGGCUGAGGGAAACUGAGGGUUGGGAUGGGAUGGGCUGAGGGAAGCUGAGGGUUGGGAUGGGCUGAGGGAAGCUGAGGGUUGGGAUGGGCUGAGGGAAGCUGAGGGUUGGGAUGGGAUAGACUGAGGGAAGCUGAGGGUUGGGAUGGGCUGGGCUGAGGGAAGCUGAGGGUUGGGAUGGGCUGAGGGAAGCUGAGGGUUGGGAUGGGCUGAGGGAAGCUGAGGGUUGGGAUGGGAUAGACUGAGGGAAGCUGAGGGUUGGGAUGGGAUGGGCUGAGGGAAGCUGAGGGAUGUGGAAUUGGAGACAGGUGGGAGUGGAGUUGCUGUGUGAGAGAUAGUAUGAAGGUCAAAGAUAAAAGUACAACAAAAAAAGUCAAAACAAAAUUAAAAGUACAUUUGAAUGACACAAAGAGGGCAGUGUUUUUACAGCUAAUGCCGGUUUGCCUGAGGCUGAUGCCGUGCAGGUGUUUGUACACAUGUAUACACACACUCUCAUUCAAAAAACACAUAAAAGAACACAGACAUACAUGUAAUAGUGCCAGACAUGCACACAAACUGUUACAGUUGGCAUUGAUAUUAUGAUUUCAGUUGUCCUUCAUGUCCUUUGUUUUAAAUAAAACACUUUUUUGGUUUUUCUGUUGUUGUUUUCUUCUGUCUUUUCCUGUUUUCUCUUUAGUUCUCUUGGUUGUUGGUGCAUUGGGGGGUUCUUGGGGGUGGGGAAUGGAAUUAGUUGUAUGUUUGUUUCUUUCUUCCUGGGGGGGACUGUGGGAGGGGUCUCGAAUGGUUGAGGGACAGCUAUUAGGGAACUGUGGGGGGAUUGAGCAGGGCAUUGACCUUGGAUGCUUCUGUGUGUCGCUCUGAAUGGGAAUCUGUUGGAUGACUGGUUGGAUGUAGUUAUUGAGCGGCUUCACUGCAAGUACAGUGGGGCAAAAAGUACAGUGGGGCAAAAAGUACAGUGGGGCAAAAAGUACAGUGGGGCAAAAAAAAUUGCAAAUAAAUUCAUUAAAAAUCCUACAAUGUGAUUUUCUGGAUUUUUUUUCUCAUUUUGUCUGUCAUAGUUGAAGUGUACCUAUGAUGAAAAUUACAGGCCUCUCUCAUCUUUUUAAGUGGGAGAACUUGCACAAUUGGUGGCUGACUAAAUACUUUUUUGCCCCACUGUAAAAAAAAGAAUAAUAAUAAGGCCCGAGCAGGGUGUGGUAUAUGGCCAAUAUACCACGGCUAAGGGCUGUUCUUAAGCACGACGCAACGCGGAGUGCCUGGAUACAGUCCUUAGCCGUGGUAUAUUGGCCAUAUACCACAAACCCCCUGAGGUGCCUUAUUGCUAUUAUAAACUGGUUACCAACGUAAUUUGUAAAAAUACAAAAAAAGUUUUUUUCAUACCUGUGGUAUACGGUCUGAUAUACCACAGCUGUCAGCCAAUCAGCAUUCAGGGGUCAAACGAACCAGUUUAUAAUAUACAGUGUACUUUAUGAUGGUCAUUGUCAGCAUAACACCAGAGUAGAACUGAGACCAGUGGUCUCCUGUCUGUCCUCUGCCCUGAGCAUCACACUCACUCACUCACACAUACACACACACUAUACAAUCAACACACACACCAUAAACUUAACACACCACACAGCAACACUUAUUUGUCAUUUUUACAUUGCUGCUGCUGGUGGAUUUAGCAGCAGGAUCCACAGUGCCUCUCUGCUCCGGGAGGUGUGUAGGAGGCUCUGGGACCCCCUCUGGUAGCUCCCUGUGGAUCAGCGGAGAUGGGCUGCUGGGUGGUGACAUAUAGGCCAUCUGGAGAUCUUCCUUCUCCUGAAGAUCUUCCUUCUCCUCCUCACUGGGGACGUCAGGGUAGGAGGCUGAGCUGAAGGAGCGCUGGGCCAUAGACCGGGGGCCGGAGAUGGGGCUGGGUCGGUGUGGUUGGGUCCGGAGCUCCACUGGUACCAUCCUCUCUGCCUGCUGCUGGAGGUGUUGCCUGGCUGUGGGUUGACUAGGGGCCGGUUGGUCUGUCUUGCUGAGUUCUCGAGACAAAGCCAACUCAUCCUCCACACCUGGGGGUCAGGAGGGGGACAGGAGGGGGUCAGGAGGAGGUCAGGAGGAGGUCAGGAGGAGGUCAGGAGGGGAACAGGAGGGGGUCAGGAGGGAACAGGAGGGGAACAGGAGGGGGUCAGGAGGGGGUCAGGAGGGGAACAGGAGGGGUAAAGAAGGGGGACAGGAGGGGAACAGGAGGGGUAAAGAAGGGGGUCAGGAGGGGAAAAGAAGGGGGUUAGGAGGGGAGAGAAGGGGUUCAGGAGAGGGACAGGAGGGGGUCAGGAAGGGGUCAGGAGGG
ensembl:lncRNA